rnacentral:rRNA from 1 species
GAGUUUGAUCAUGGCUCAGAACGUACGCUGGCGGCACGCCUAACACAUGCAAGUCGAACGAAGUAGCAAUACUUAGUGGCAGACGGGUGAGUAACAUGUAGGUAUCUACCCUUUGGCCUGGAAUAACACGAGGAAACUUGUGCUAAUACCGGAUAAGUCUUUACGGAGAAAGCUUUAUGCACCAUUGGAUGAGCCUGCAUUUGAUUAGUUUGUUGGUGGGGUAAUGGCCUACCAAGACUGUGAUCAAUAGCUGAUUUGAGAGGAUGAUCAGCCACAUUGGGACUGAGACACGGCCCAAACUCCUACGGGAGGCAGCAGUGGGGAAUCUUGCACAAUGGAGGAAACUCUGAUGCAGCGAUGCCGCGUGAGUGAAGAAGGCCUUUGGGUUGUAAAGCUCUUUCGUCGGGGAAGAAAAUGACUGUACCCGAAUAAGAAGGUCCGGCUAACUUCGUGCCAGCAGCCGCGGUAAUACGAAGGGACCUAGCGUAGUUCGGAAUUACUGGGCUUAAAGAGUUCGUAGGUGGUUGAAAAAGUUGGUGGUGAAAUCCCAGAGCUUAACUCUGGAACUGCCAUCAAAACUUUUCAGCUAGAGUAUGAUAGAGGAAAGCAGAAUUUCUAGUGUAGAGGUGAAAUUCGUAGAUAUUAGAAAGAAUACCAAUUGCGAAGGCAGCUUUCUGGAUCAUUACUGACACUGAGGAACGAAAGCAUGGGUAGCGAAGAGGAUUAGAUACCCUCGUAGUCCAUGCCGUAAACGAUGUGUGUUAGACGUUGGAAAUUUAUUUUCAGUGUCGCAGCGAAAGCGAUAAACACACCGCCUGGGGAGUACGACCGCAAGGUUAAAACUCAAAUGAAUUGACGGGGACCCGCACAAGUAGUGGAGCAUGUGGUUUAAUUCGAAGAUACGCGCAGAACCUUACCAACACUUGACAUGUUCGUCGCGACUCUAAGAGAUUAGAGUUUUCGGUUCGGCCGGACGAAACACAGGUGCUGCAUGGCUGUCGUCAGCUCGUGUCGUGAGAUGUUGGGUUAAGUCCCGCAACGAGCGCAACCCUCACUUUUAGUUGCCAUCAUUUAGUUGGGCACUCUGAAAGAACUGCCAGUGAUAAGCUGGAGGAAGGUGGGGAUGACGUCAAAUCCUCAUGGCCCUUACGUGUUGGGCUACACACGUGCUACAAUGGUAUCUACAACAGGAAGCAAGACGGCGAAGUUAAGCAAAUCCCUAAAAGAUACCUCAGUUCGGAUUGCACUCUGCAACUCGAGUGCAUGAAGCUGGAAUUACUAGUAAUCGUGGAUCAGCGUGCCACGGUGAAUGCGUUCCCGGGUCUUGUACACACCGCCCGUCACACCAUGGGAGUUGGUUCUACCUUAAGGCAAGGUUUUAAACCCUUGACCACGGUAUAGUCAGCGACUGGGGUGAAGUCGUAACAAGGUAACC